UACAGAGGUCCCAAGCGUUGUUCGGAUUCAUUGGGCGUAAAGGGUGCGUAGGCGGCGCGGUAAGUCGGGUGUGAAAUCUCUGGGCUCAACCCAGAGUCUGCUUCCGAAACUGCUGUGCUUGAGUGUGGGAGAGGCGCGUGGAAUUGCAGGUGUAGCGGUGAAAUGCGUAGAUAUCUGCAGGAACACCCGUGGCGAAAGCGGCGCGCUGGACCACUACUGACGCUGAGGAACGAAAGCUAGGGGAGCAAACAGG
rnacentral:rRNA from 1 species